rnacentral:rRNA from 1 species
GUCCACGCCCUAAACGAUGUCUACUAGUUGUUGGUGGAGUAAAUCCAUGAGUAACGCAGCUAACGCGUGAAGUAGACCGCCUGGGGAGUACUGUCGCAAGAUUAAAACUCAAAUGAAUUGACGGGGCCCGCACAAGCGGUGGAUUAUGUGGAUUAAUUCGAUGCAACGCGAAAACCUUACCUGGCCUUGACAUGUAACGAACUUUCCAGAGAUGGAUUGGUGCUCGAAAGAGAGCGUUAACACAGGUGCUGCAUGGCUGUCGU